rnacentral:lncRNA from 1 species
ACACUUAAUAUACAUUAAUAUUAAAAUAAAAUAAAAACUCCAAGCUUGUCACCAGAGACUAAUCAAAUACCACUUAAAUAGUCUUUGCUUUUCAGCCUGACUGUAGGAAACAGUAAUAGAUCGCCAAUGAACUCUUAGGUUUUUCUUUCUCUUUUUCUUGUUCCCAAAUAAGUGCUUAAGUAGGAAAGAACACAUAGACUGUGACCCUAGUUGUGUGUAACUGGAACAGUUCUGGGGCAGCCCUGUGCCUGUAAAUCAGGUUCCCUGUCUGAGCUCCUCAAAGCAAAUCUUCUCCCAAGGCCUCCAGCCACAGCCGCUGUGCGUCCACAGUGACUAGCCCUUUGAAAUGUUAUCUGCAGAUAGUGGCACAGUCCCAGCAGCUCUGCCUCGCCUUCCAGAGAGGACCUGUUGUCCGUGACAGAAUCCAGAAAAUUCCCCAAGGUGUCUGCUGUGAUUUGCCUUUUGGAGGAAGAAUUCUAAUGAGGAUUAUAAAAGUUUUUCAUACUGACAGAAAUCUUUAAUCUUACAGUUGUGGGUAUUUUAAGAUUCUAAGAUUGGAAGACAAUUAAGUCCUCGGGUUCAAUUUCGAUUACACUUGAACUUGAUGAGGACCCAGGCUUUGCCAUCACCUUCACCGAAGUUUGACUGACACAGGAUUUUCUUAACCUUGAAACCUAACCAGAUUGAGGCUACAAAUAGUCCGCACUGAAUCAUUAGGGAUCAAGUCAAAGACAGUUGGAAGACAUUCUGUGAAGGCAAUGUGAAUGUGUGUGUGUGUGUGUGUGUGUGUGUGUGUGUGUGUGUGUGUGUGUGUGUAUGUGUGCUUUCCCUGUUGAAUAUGCAAAAUAUUUGGGUUCAUGAGAUCAGAAUUGUAUAACAUACUUGCUUAAAAUAUAGCCAGGAUCAACCUAAACCUACUAGAAGAGAGAUCUCGGUGGGAAGUGGCCUAGAACUUUCCUUCUUGCAUAGAAUUUUCAUUCAGGUCUAAUGUACAUCAACGGCUGCUUUUAAUGAUAUGCAGCUCAUAAAAUCCCUGGAGGCUAUUUAUCUCCAAUCAAGUUGAAGAAAAAGAUUUAUUGGUUCCAUGUUCCUGGCAUUCCACUGAAGGACAAAGUGCCCUGUAAUGGUGCUUUUCACAACAAUUUCAUUUUAUUUUAUAAUUUAUGGGUCAUGCAUUUGGACAGGGCCUAUCUAGGUUAUUGAUUUCUGUUUUACCUGGGGCUGUUGAUCUGGGGUGUCAAAGGAUCCAUUUCCAAGAUGAUCCCUUCAUAUGACUAGCAGUUAGUGCAAGUGGCUAGGCGGGUGCUCAAGUGGAGUAUUGAUGAGGAGACUGCAAUUGCCCACCUGCUGAAUUCUCCAUGGAGCUUGAACUUCCCCACAGUGUAACACUAGUAUCUCACUGCCAAUAGUUUGUGUUGUUUAUGUAGUUUGAAUGAAGCAGCAGUAAACACUAUAGUCCUAGGUAAAAUCUUGCCUGCCACUUGAUUUUAUAAAUAAAGUUUUAUUAGAAUACUGCUGUGCUGAUUUAUUUCCUUAUUAUCAAUGCCCCACAGCAGCAGUGGUGAGUAUUUGCAGCAUAGGAUAUUUGCUACCUGGCUCUUUGCAAAAGACAUUUGCUAGCCUGUUUGCUGUCGAGGGGUUGAUCUGUUUAUCCUUAUCUCUUCCUUCUUGAUUAUCUCAGUGGGAAAGUUGAAGGAGUCUUCUUUCCCCUUUUUUAUGUUUUUAGGUAUUUAUCAGCCCUAGAUUCUCUCUGAGCUUGUCCACAGUGGAGACUCCAAGCAUGCUGAACUGCCUAUGCUAAAAUGGUUAGCACCCUCUAUUUUAUUUGACCAACUCAUAACAACGGGUGGUGAUCUAGUAUAAAGAAACAAGAACUUUUAAUGUAAUAAAAAGGUUAUAGGUUUGGGAGCCUUUGAGCUUAAGUUCCAAGCAGACAUUGAUUGUUUUUAGUUGUCUAGGAUCUAUUCCACAUUUUGUAACAAUAAUGUAUUUCUUUUCCCCCAUUCAGUGCUGUCUUGGUUGAAUCAAGGAACGUCUUUCUGUACUGGCUUACAGAAGAUUAGACAUGUGACCAAGGGGGUGGAUGUCAAAUCGAUUCAUCCCAGUGACAGUAGCCUGUAAGACCAGACCAUCUGUCCUUUCCUGUUCCUAGAGCCCUGGGGAUGCUCUGACCACAGCUCAUGUUCAGACUCAUUUCCUAACAUUUCUUUUAAAUUCCAUGAGCUGUCUGGAAUGCUUUCAAUUCUUUCAUUUACAACUAAAAGUAGUUAAUUGGAUUACUUCUAAUGGAGAAUCUUCUCUAUGGCAUAGAGCACAAGCUACAGAGUUAGAGACACUCUGCAGAAAGGGAGGAAACACUUUCAAGCCUUCAGUCUGAUAAAGGAUUAAUAUCUGUAAUAUAUGGGGUGAAAAAAAUCUUAGCAAAAACAUCCAGAAGAAGGAAAUAAUCCAGUUAAAAAUAGCCUAAAUAUUCGAACAGACAUUUCUUUUUCUUUUCUUUUCUUUUCUCUUCUUUUCUUUUCUUUUCUUUUCUUUCCUUUUCUCUUCUUUUUUUUCUUUUCUUUUCUUUUUUUCUGAACCAGGGUUUCUCUGUGUAGCCUUGGCUGUCCUGGAAUUCACUCUGUAGACUAGGCUGGCCUCAAAUGCAGAAAUCUGCCUGCCUCUGCCUCCCAAGUGCUAGGAUUAAAGGCGUGUGCCACCACUGCCAGGCUGAACAGAUAUUUCUUAAAAGAAGAUAAAUGACCAAGAAUAUGGAAAAAUGUUCAGUAUCACUGAUCAUCAGGUAAACACAAAUAAAAUGAUAGUGUGAUAUCACCUCAGCCCCAUUGGAAUGACUAGCACCAAAAGAAAAAAACAAAACCAAACAAAAUAAACCUAAACAAAGUAAGUGUUGGCAAGAAGCAGAGAAAAGGGAACCUGGACAGUAUUCAUGGGAAUGUAAAUUAUUAUAGAAAACAGGAUGAGAAUUCCUUAAAAACAAAAAGUAAGGUUAGCAUAUGACCGGGCAAUUCAGCUACAGAGAGAGUGUAUAUCCAAAGAAAAUAAAAUUGUUAUCUUAAGAAAAUAUUUGCAGGCCUGUAUUUACUGCAGCACCAAUAGCACUAGUCAAUAUAUAGUCAAUCAAGGUGUCCAUUGGUAGAUAAACGGAUAAGGAAGAUGUGAUACACACAGAGAAGGGAGCAUCAGUUAGCUACAAAAAGAAGGAAAUACUACAAUUUAGUUACAUUAGCACAGAUGGGUCUGGAGGAUUCGUGUUUAGUGAAAUGAGUCAGACCCAAAUACCACACGCUUUUCCCCAUUUGUGGGGAUUAAAACAUCAAACUCCCAGAGGAGUGGAAUGGAAUUCUGGUCACUCAAGACUGGGGAUACAGUACAGGGGAGUCUGGAAGGUCAGAAAGGGGGCACCAAGGUAGAGAGGAGAAAUUAAUACUAGCAUGUAUAGAACAG